AUGGAUGAAUACCAAAGGUCUUUAUCAAGACCAUUGCUAACGAUUAUGUCUAUUAAUAUAGAAGGUUUGUCACUUGCUAAGGAAGAACUAUUAGCCAAAAUGUCUGAGGACAUAUCAUGUGACAUCCUAUGUAUACAGGAAACACACAGAGACAUUACAAUGAGAAGACCAAAAAUUCUUGGAAUGCAGCUGGUAGUGGAACGACCUCACAGACAAUAUGGCAGUGCCAUUUUUGUACGAUCUGGUGUAGCAAUCUCUGCAACUUCCCUCCCAGAAGUGAACAACAUUGAAAUCUUAUCUGUGGAACUUGAUAGUUGCACCGUAUCAUCACUCUAUAAACCACCUGGGGCUGAUUUCUAUUUUACACCCCCAACCAGUGGCCACAAUCAUGAAGCCCAUUUUGUUGUGGGAGAUUUCAAUAGCCAUAGCUGUGUCUGGGGCUAUGACGAAGAUGAUAGAAAUGGCGAAGCAGUUCUAACUUGGGCCGACAAUAGUAGAAUGAGCCUCCUUCAUGACAGAAAAUUACCACCAUCAUUUAAUAGCGGCCGAUGGAAGCGUGGUUAUAACCCUGAUCUGAUUUUUGUAAAGGAAAGCAUAAGCCACCAAUGCACCAAAAGGGUAUUAAACCCAAUACCUAACACACAACACAGACCAAUAUGCUGCGUAGCAUAUGCAGCUGUAAGACCGAAAAGUGUCCCAUUCCGCAGAAGAUAUAACUUCAAUAAAGCUAACUGGACAAAGUUUACAGAGACCUUGGAAGCUGCUAUUUCUGAUAUAGAACCUUCUAUAGAAAAUUAUGACCUGUUCGUAGAAGCUAUGAAAAGAUCCUCGGGGCCCUCAAUCCCUAGAGGCUGUCGCACAAGCUACCUACCAGGCCUAAACGAAGAAUCACUAAAUCAGCUACAAGAAUAUCUCAGAUUAUUUCAAGAGAACCCAUACAGUGAUGGGACUAUAGCAGCAGGCCAAAAACUAUCUACAGCCUUAGCUAAUGCUAAGAAAGACCGUUGGAUAGAGCUGCUUGAGAACCUGGACAUGUCCAAGAGUAGCCGAAAAGCCUGGCAAUUGCUGAGACGCCUGGAUAGUUACCCUCUGGUCAACCCUGGACACGCGAAUGUGACACCAGAUCAG
ensembl:lncRNA